UGUUCAGUAGCUUCUUCACAGUCCUGUGCUGGUUUUUUUAUGGCACUGUAACAGUAACCUAACACAUCCUCUCUGCCUGCACAAAAUCAGAGGAUGCUUAAGUUUUAGAUGUUGCUACCGACUUAGAUAUUUUCUUACGGCUUUCAACUUUUUUUGCUUUUCUGAAUUUGACAGGUUUUCAGCUCCAGUAGGAGGCUGACCAAACCUGAAUGCCUGCAUUGCUGCCAUCGGAAGACCAAGCUUUCAAGACUCAAGGCUUGAGGAUCCAAGCCUUGGAUAUAUCAGCCCAGCCCAGCAUCUGCUGUAACUGGGACAUGGUUCUUGGAACACAGUCGUUUGUACUGGAGCCCAUGUGGACCAGGCUUCCAUCUGCCCAUGACGUACUGUGCAGGCACAGCCUAGCUGAGUUUGCCUUGUUUUAUUGUCAGCAGCAGCGUUCUGAAGAUCACAGAGAUUUAAAGCAGACUGCUUUAAAUGAGAGAUGGCAGCUGCUGUGCCAUCUCUCCCCUGGCACUGGGCAUGUCUAAUCCACUCACUAAUAACCAAAUGUCAGCUGCAUGAGCCUGGAUUUGAACUAGCAUUCCAGCCCUUUGUAAUGCUAAAAUGGUAGCUACUACAAGAGUAGGAGUUUUCCUCACACACAAAAGUAGGAGAAGGGAUUAGAAACAUCCACAAACAAGGAGUAGAUGAAUACAUGUUCCACUAGAAGCCAACCAGAUAUUUGACCUCAGGUUCAUAUUUCUGUAAACAUGUAUCUUGGCAACAUAUCAUUCAGUUUCUCAAUAUGCUGCAAUAAAAGCCAUUUCUCAUUCA